GUUUUGUAGUGUAGUGGUUAUCACAUCUGCCUAACAAGCUGAUGGUCUUGGGCUCGAAAGCCAGUUGAAACC